rnacentral:lncRNA from 1 species
CAAUGUCUUCUCUACCAAGUGAAUCUCUGACUCUACAAGUUUCCUUCCCAAGACACUGUGGUCCAGGGCUACCUCCCUUACAGCCUACAUGACAACAUGUGCAAAUUAUUUGUCAGCAUCUAAUUGCAAGAACGAUGAGGAAACCAAGGCACAGAGGUUAAACAACGUGUCCAAGCCACGUAGCAAGUAAACAAUUGAGCCAGGCUCCAAAUCCAAACGUUCUGGCGUCAGAGUCCUAUAAAGAUUUUUUUGGCCUAAUGUGAGGAAGUACUUUCUAAGAAUAAGAGUUUACCAAUUAAAAGGGGGUUGCUGUUUUAUGAAGAUAUUUAAACCAAGGCUGAGGGGCCAUUUUCAAGGGAUGCUGACUCGGUAAAAGUUCUUUGGCAGCAAGCAUCAGAAACCAAAUGUAACAACUUUAAGCUAAAAAAUAAAAAGAAGGAAGAGGAAGAAGAGAAGAUGGGGUUGAGGGAGGAGGACAGG